AUUGAACGCUGGCGGCAGGCCUAACACAUGCAAGUCGGGCGAGAGGCGGACGGGUGAGUAAUGUAUGGGGAUCUGCCUGAUGGAGGGGGAUAACUACUGGAAACGGUAGCUAAUACCGCAUACCAUCAGCUGAACCCAUAUGGGAUUAGCUUGUAGGGAAGGUAACGGCGUACCUAGGCGACGCGCCCUAGCUGGUCUGCGAGGAUGGUCAGCCACACUGGGACUGCGACCCGGCCCAGACUCUUACGGGAGGCAGCAGUGGGGAAUAUUGCACAAUGGGCGCAAGCCUGAUGCAGCCCUGCCGCUGGUAUGAAGUAGGCCUUCGGGUUGUAAAGUACUUUCAGUCGUGAGGCGUUACUGACAGAAGAAGCACCGGCUAACUCCGUGCCAGGAGCCGCGGUAAUAC
rnacentral:rRNA from 1 species